rnacentral:rRNA from 1 species
UACGGAGGGAGCUAGCGUUGUUCGGAAUUACUGGGCGUAAAGCGCGCGUAGGCGGCCUUGCAAGUUAGAGGUGAAAGCCCGGAGCUCAACCCCGGAAUUGCCUUUAAGACUGCAUCGCUUGAAUCCGGGAGAGGUGAGUGGAAUUCCGAGUGUAGAGGUGAAAUUCGUAGAUAUUCGGAAGAACACCAGUGGCGAAGGCGGCUCACUGGACCGGUAUUGACGCUGAGGUGCGAAAGCUAGGGGAGCAAACAGG